CAUACUUACCACUAUGGUUCAAGUUCAGACCUGCCCCUGAGACCUCUUCCAGAGUCCUUCACGCGAGAAUGAACAUAACACUUGAAUUCUUGGAAGGAGAAGCACUGGGACGAAAAUAAGACUCUACACAUCCCUAAAACCACAGCCCUUCCUAUCAGCAUAGGAGAGACAUUCCACCGAGGAAGGUCUGCCUGUGUCAGAAUACACCCCUGCUGCUAAAAAAAGACCACAGGGGAACAAAAUGAAGACUGAAAGAGAACUGCGAUUUGAGAUCUGUGACAGAAGUUCACUGUUUUCCGUCUUUUCAGAAAAAAAAAGUUUCAAGAGACUUUCUGUAGAGCUUGUCAAGUUUCUUCAUAUUGGUCAAAAACUUAUCUAACUAUGUAAUAAAUGCUACCUGGUGAAGUCA